UCUAUCAAAUAUUGUUUUUGUGACCUUCUUUCUACACCCUGGGAGUCACUGGACCGUUUGAUUAACAAGCGCCAUUUACAUCGGCUUUGUCUGAAAUUAUAUAUUUCAAUCUUUGCGUCAAAAUAUGUUACGUUUUAAAAGUACAAUGGAGACAUGUCAUGUUGAAUAGUGCAUGACGUUAACUCCAUUAAGAUAAAUAUAGUGAUUUUAUGCAAUAGUCGACUUCAUAUCCCUAUUUGAUAUGGGGCAAUCCAUGAGUUUCAGAAACACUUAAUCACUGUUGCCUCGAGGUUUAAUUAUCUAACGACUGAAUUAAGAAAGGCGAUCGGAUAUAAAUAUAUUUCUGUUGUAGUGUAUUCGGUUGAUAAACUUAUUAGCUGAAAAUGUCUGCGAGUCUUAGAAUAUGUCUAUGGAUUUCAAUUUUAUCGAGUGGAUAUGUUUCAGCAGAAGGUCAUCCGGAAGAUCUUAUAUUAUUUGCAUGUCAAUUCUUCGAAGCUACAACUCCAGUAACAACCCCAGCACCAUCCACAACGUUAGAAGCUACAACUCCAGUAACAACUCCAGCACCAUCCACAACUACAGAAGCUACAGCUCCAGAAACAACUAGAGCCCAAGACACAACCUCAACGACGCCAGAAACAUUAACAGAUGGUGCAUGCAAUCCAACAAAGUGUGAGUCAUAUGGAUACGGAAGAAAAUGUAUGGUAUUUACAUGCAUUACAGACGCGGAUGAUUGCGGGGAUAAUACCUGUGGCCGUGAUGACAUUUGUCGCAAGAAUCAGUGUACAACGUACGAUAAUAUUUUUAAUUCUGAAUCCUGUAACGAAACUAUUGGUUGUCUGCCCUAUCGCCAAGGUGAACCAUGUGGGUCCACAUAUUGUGUCGACCGCCAGUCAACUUGUGUGGAUGGCAUCUGUAGAGCAUAUUGUCGCUAUCCUGGUUUGUGUUAUUCAAAUGGCAUUAAGGGUAAUUGUAACACUGCAACACGCUUGUGUAUUGCUUCUUGUACUACUAACGCGGAUUGUUUUGAUAAUCCAUGUAUUGGUGGUGAAUGCUCUUUUCCAACAUGUGAUGACGAACCGAGAUGCCUUGAAGAUGGCUGACGAACAUAUCGCAUGGACAUGGAAAUAUUAAACAGAACUCAAAAUUAAACAGACUUUUCGUUUGUAA